ensembl:lncRNA
UGCACAUGAUAUGCAAACUGUAGCACAGCUCCAGCCUUUUUCACAACUUUCUCUGUUCUUUUUUCAACCAGCAAUCGAGUGUCAUAUCAAGUUCUAGAAGCAAUUAUUCUUACAACAUCAAUGCAUCUUACUUGAGUGAAAACCUUGCCUUUCUCAUCCACCAGAAACUACUUGCUCUCCAAACCCGUGAUGAGCAACGUGGUAUUUACAAAGCGCACUGUUACACAGAUGAAGGACAACCUGCAGCCAGUGAUGAACUGGACGCAAUAUCCAUUCCAGAGGACGACUUUCAUCCAGAGAUGCUUAAAAAUCUGGACAGCAGGUUCAGUCGGCUAGCAACAAUCUCCAGACCUGACCUGAUGAGAAGGUGAACAUUAUCUCAGAACGUGUAGCCUAAAUAUAAAUAUUUAGGGGGGGGGGGAAGACUACAGUUCUAUAGUAUCAAUGAUGAUAAAUAGAACUCCGUUUGCAUUUCCUGAAUGCAAAAAUACAUGCUUGCAAAGCAACAACGGAAUAGUAUAAAUAGUUUAAGGUGAGCUCAGGUUUUUGGCUUUUGUUCUGUUUAUUUUCUUUCUGUAUUUUUUGCACUGUGUUCAUGUGGAAUAAUUUGCAGGCAUUUAAUAAAAAAAAAUAUAUAGUGUUGUAAUUAUUUAAU